rnacentral:rRNA from 1 species
UACGUAGGGUCCGAGCGUUGUCCGGAAUUAUUGGGCGUAAAGAGCUCGUAGGCGGUUUGUCACGUCUGCUGUGAAAACUGGAGGCUCAACCUCCAGCCUGCAGUGGGUACGGGCAGACUAGAGUGCGGUAGGGGAGAUUGGAAUUCCUGGUGUAGCGGUGGAAUGCGCAGAUAUCAGGAGGAACACCAAUGGCGAAGGCAGAUCUCUGGGCCGUAACUGACGCUGAGGAGCGAAAGCAUGGGGAGCGAACAGGAUUA